CGCAUCACUGGUGUUCGGGUUGUCAUGCCAAUGGCACUGCCCGGUAGCUAAAUGCGGAAGAGAUAAGUGCUGAAAGCAUCUAAGCACGAAACUUGCCCCGAGAUGAGUUCUCCCUGAGACUUAGAGUCUCCUGAAGGAACGUUGAAGACGACGACGUUGAUAGGCCGGGUGUGUAAGCGCAGCGAUGCGUUGAGCUAACCGGUACUAAUGAACCGUGAGGCUUAACCUUAC
rnacentral:rRNA from 1 species